rnacentral:rRNA from 1 species
GACGUAGGAGGCGAGCGUUGUCCGGAUUCAUUGGGCGUAAAGAGCACGCAGGCGGUUUGGCAAGUCGGAUGUGAAAACCCGGAGCUCAACUCCGGACCUGCAUCCGAAACUGCCCGACUAGAGGUAGGUAGGGGAGAUCGGAAUUCCUGGUGUAGCGGUGAAAUGCGUAGAUAUCUGGAGGAACACCGGUGGCGAAGGCGGCAUCCUGGACCGGCAUUGACGCUAAAGCGCGAAAGCCAGGGGAGCAAACGGG